GGCCGGGCCGGUAACGGAGAAAGUUUCCGCCGACACUGGCCUGUAUUAGCGCGUAUGGCCUCGGGCCCUCGUUCCCCAAGGCGUGCCGCCUCCCUGUUCUCAGUCGCAGGCUGAAGCCUUGUCUGCUCUCCUCCUUUUUGGUUUGGUUUUGGAACUGACUCCGAGGGUUGGGAGAGCGCGUUGGUGGCGACAGCCGAGUCAGCCAACAAAUGGAAUUUUCUUGAGCAUGUUUCUAAUCGUUUUGCCAUUGGAAUCCAUGGCUCAUGGGCUCUUCCAUGAAUUGGGUAACUGUUUAGGAGGAACAUCUGUUGGAUAUGCUAUUGUGAUUCCCACCAA
rnacentral:lncRNA from 1 species